GUUUGGCGAAAAUAAAAAAGUUUUUAAAAAAGUGAUUGUAUCAAAAAAGGGGGGUGGGUGGGGUUGAUUCUGUAAAAUAGCUAAUUUAUUUUUUUGAAAUUUUCUACUCUUCACUAGUCGAGCUGCUUUGAACUGAUAAAAAGUAAACAUUACUAAGAUAUGAUUUUUUGCUCACACCAUUUUCCAAUUUUUUAAAUGGAUACGUAAAUUUUCUUUGUUAACAGUUCCGCAAAUUGUGAUAACAAA
rnacentral:lncRNA from 1 species